rnacentral:rRNA from 1 species
AUUGAACGCUGGCGGCAGGCCUAACACAUGCAAGUCGAACGGUAACAGGAAGCAGCUUGCUGCUUCGCUGACGAGUGGCGGACGGGUGAGUAAUGUCUGGGAAGCUGCCUGAUGGAGGGGGAUAACUACUGGAAACGGUAGCUAAUACCGCAUAAUGUCGCAGGACCAAAGAGGGGGACCUUCGGGCCUCUUGCCAUCGGAUGUGCCCAGAUGGGAUUAGCUUGUUGGUGGGGUAACGGCUCACCAAGGCGACGAUCCCUAGCUGGUCUGAGAGGAUGACCAGCCACACUGGAACUGAGACACGGUCCAGACUCCUACGGGAGGCAGCAGUGGGGAAUAUUGCACAAUGGGCGCAAGCCUGAUGCAGCCAUGCCGCGUGUAUGAAGAAGGCCUUCGGGUUGUAAAGUACUUUCAGCGGGGAGGAAGGGAGUAAAGUUAAUACCUUUGCUAAUUGACGUUACCCGCAGAAGAAGCACCGGCUAACUCCGUG